GGAUCGCCCUUCCUACGGGAGGCAGCAGUGGGGAAUUUUGGACAAUGGGCGAAAGCCUGAUCCAGCAAUGCCGCGUGUGGGAAGAAGGCCUUCGGGUUGUAAACCACUUUUGUACGGAACGAAACGGUCUGCCCUAAUACGGUGGGCUAAUGACGGUACCGUAAGAAUAAGCACCGGCUAACUACGUGCCAGCAGCCGCGGUAAUAAGGGCGAUCCC
rnacentral:rRNA from 1 species